UACGAAGGGGGCUAGCGUUGCUCGGAAUCACUGGGCGUAAAGGGUGCGUAGGCGGGUCUUUAAGUCAGGGGUGAAAGCCCAGAGCUCAACUCUGGAAUUGCCUUUGAGACUGAGUGGCUUGAGUACGAGAGAGGUGAGUGGAAUUCCCAGUGUAGAGGUGAAAUGCGCAGAUAUCAGGAGGAACACCGAUGGCGAAGGCAGCUCGCUGGGACGGUACUGACGCUGAGGCGCGAAAGCGUGGGGAGCAAACAGG
rnacentral:rRNA from 1 species